GCCCCUUUAGCUCAGGGGAUAGAGCGUCUGCCUCCGGAGCAGAAGGCCGCAGGUUCGAAUCCUGCAAGGGGCACCA
rnacentral:tRNA from 1 species